GACGAACGCUGGCGGCGUGCUUAACACAUGCAAGUCGAACGGGUCUGCCCUGUUUUUUGCGGGGUGGGUCAGUGGCGAACGGGUGAGUAACACGUGAGUAACCUGCCCCUCACUUCUGGAUAACCGCUUGAAAGGGUGGCUAAUACGGGGUGUUCUGGCUGUGCCGCAUGGUGUGGCUGGGAAAGAUUCACUUUUGUGGUGUUUUGGUGGGGGAUGGGCUCGCGGCCUAUCAGCUUGUUGGUGGGGUGAUGGCCUGCCAAGGCUUUGACGGGUAGCCGGCCUGGGGGGGUGGGCGGUCACACUGGGACUGAGAUACGGCCCAGACUGCUGCGGGAGGCAGCAGUGGGGGGUAUUGCACAAUGGGCGGAAGCCUGAUGCAGCGACGUCGCGUGAGGGAUGGAGGCCUUCGGGUUGUGAACCUCUUUCGCCGGUGAAGAAGGUCCUGCUCUUUGUGGUGGGGUUGACGGUAGCCGGGUUAUGAAGCGCCGGCUAACUACGUG
rnacentral:rRNA from 1 species